rnacentral:rRNA from 1 species
AAAGUCCGCAAGGGUGAGUAAAGUGGCGUACGGGUGAGUAACACGUGGAUAAUCUACCCUCUUGUGGGGAAUACCGUUAGGAAACCGACGACAAUACCGCAUAAGCUCGAGAGAGGAAAGCAGCAAUGCGCAGGAGGAGGAGUCCGCGGCUGAUUAGCUAGUUGGUGAGGUAAUGGCUCACCAAGGCUCAGAUCAGUAGCCGGCCUGAGAGGGCACACGGCCACACUGGCACUGAAACACGGGCCAGACUCCUACGGGAGGCAGCAGUGGGGAAUCUUGCACAAUGGGGGAAACCCUGAUGCAGCGACGCCGCGUGAGCGAUGAAGCCCUUCGGGGUGUAAAGCUCUUUCGGCAGGGAAGAUGAUGACGGUACCUGCAGAAGCAGCUGCGGCUAACUACGUGCCAGCAGCCGCGGUAAUACGUAGGCAGCAAGCGUUGUUCGGAGUUACUGGGCGUAAAGGGUGUGUAGGCGGUUGGAUAAGUGUGGUGUGAAAUCUCCCGGCUCAACUGGGAGGGUGCGCUACAAACUGUCUGACUAGAGUGUGGGAUGGGAAAGUGGAAUUCCUGGUGUAGCGGUGAAAUGCGUAGAUAUCAGGAGGAACACCGGUGGUGUAGACGGCUUUCUGGACCAUAACUGACGCUGAGACACGAAAGCGUGGGUAGCAAACAGGAUUAGAUACCCUGGUAGUCCACGCCCUAAACGAUGCAUAUUUGGUGUGGGUCAUUCAUUUGAUCCGUGCCGGAGCUAACGCGUUAAAUAUGCCGCCUGGGGAGUACAGUCGCAAGGCUGAAACUC